GAUGAACGCUGGCGGCGUGCCUAAUACAUGCAAGUCGAGCGAACAGAUGAGGAGCUUGCUCCUCUGACGUUAGCGGCGGACGGGUGAGUAACACGUGGAUAACCUACCUAUAAGACUGGGAUAACUUCGGGAAACCGGAGCUAAUACCGGAUAAUAUAUUGAACCGCAUGGUUCAAUAGUGAAAGACGGUUUUGCUGUCACUUAUAGAUGGAUCCGCGCCGCAUUAGCUAGUUGGUAAGGUAACGGCUUACCAAGGCAACGAUGCGUAGCCGACCUGAGAGGGUGAUCGGCCACACUAGAACUGAGACACGGUCCAGAGUCCUACGGGAGGCAGCAGUAGGGAAUCUUCCGCAAUGGGCGAAAGCCUGACGGAGCAACGCCGCGUGAGUGAUGAAGGUCUUCGGAUCGUAAAACUCUGUUAUUAGGGAAGAACAAAUGUGUAAGUAACUAUGCACGUCUUGACGGUACCUAAUCAGAAAGCCACGGCUAACUACGUG
rnacentral:rRNA from 1 species